rnacentral:rRNA from 1 species
CCUACGGGAGGCAGCAGUGGGGAAUUUUGGACAAUGGGGGAAACCCUGAUCCAGCCAUUCCGCGUGUGCGAUGAAGGCCUUCGGGUUGUAAAGCACUUUUGGCAGGAAAGAAAUCGCACGGGUUAAUAACCCGUGUGGAUGACGGUACCUGCAGAAUAAGCACCGGCUAACUACGUGCCAGCAGCCGCGGUAAUACGUAGGGUGCAAGCGUUAAUCGGAAUUACUGGGCGUAAAGCGUGCGCAGGCGGUUCGGAAAGAAGGAUGUGAAAUCCCAGGGCUUAACCUUGGAACUGCAUUCUUAACUACCGGGCUAGAGUAUGUCAGAGGGAGGUGGAAUUCCGCGUGUAGCAGUGAAAUGCGUAGAUAUGCGGAGGAACACCGAUGGCGAAGGCAGCCUCCUGGGAUAAUACUGACGCUCAUGCACGAAAGCGUGGGGAGCAAACAGGAUUAGAUACCCUGGUAGUCCACGCCCUAAACGAUGUCAACUAGUUGUUGGGGCCUUCGGGCCUUAGUAACGCAGCUAACGCGUGAAGUUGACCGCCUGGGGAGUACGGUCGCAAGAUU